UGUUUUCCGUAGGUGAACCUUGCGGAAGGAUCAUUCCCAGUCUUA
rnacentral:rRNA from 1 species